rnacentral:sRNA from 1 species
GCGAUUUUGAAUGAGUUGUACGCGGCGCGAGUUUCGAGUUUCGAUUUUCGAGUGUGGAGUGUGGUGUCCAUCGAGAGAGUCUCCCGCAAUCACGAAAGAUCCCCAAAUCCAAUCCGAGAUUCGAGCUCGUGCGUGUUGUGUGUGUACCCGCCACAAAUGAUAAUUGUGUGCAACAAGCGGCGAAUGCAGGCCAACAGCAACAGCAGCAACAGAAGCGACCAAAUCAACGUCCAAAUCUAUAGCAUUUGCAAUCUACAUGCGUCCGUCUAACUGUAAAGCACUGUGCAACGGUCCAGCAGCACGAGCAAGUGGCACCACAUCCGAAACAUCUGCAGCAACCUGCCCCGUAACCUGAAGACCGCAUAGAAAACACUCCAUACAUACAUAUAUACCCACAUAUUGUACGAAAGAUCGGAUAUUGGACAUUGGAUAUUGCUUCCAAACAUACACACAUACCUCGAACUCAACUCAAUUUAAUGUUAUAGAACGAUGGCAUCGGCCAUAAUCACAACGACAACGGUGACGGCAACAGGUAGUACUAUGCUCGAGCUAGACCAUCAGCGCCAAAGGCCGUUGCGCGGUAUUUCAAUAGUCAUUGAAUCUGCUCAGCCAGCAGCAACACCAACAACACCAACAGCACCAGUAGAAAAAACAACAACAACAA